GACGAACGCUGGCGGCGUGCUUAACACAUGCAAGUCGAACGGAAAGGCCCUGCUUUUGUGGGGUGCUCGAGUGGCGAACGGGUGAGUAACACGUGAGUAACCUGCCCUUGACUUUGGGAUAACUUCAGGAAACUGGGGCUAAUAUCGGAUAGGAGCUCCUGCUGCAUGGUGGGGGUUGGAAAGUUUCGGCGGUUGGGGAUGGACUCGCGGCUUAUCAGCUUGUUGGUGGGGUAGUGGCUUACCAAGGCUUUGACGGGUAGCCGGCAUGGGAGGGGGACCGGCCACAAUGGGACUGAGAGACGGCGCAGACUCCAACGGGAGGCAGCAGGCGGGAAUAUUACACAAUGGGCGGAAGCCUGAUGCGACAACGCCGCGUGCGGAAUGACGGCCUUCGGGUUGUGAACAGCUUUCGCCUGUGACGAAGCGUGAGUGACGGUAAUGGGUAAAGAAGCACCGGCUAACUACGUG
rnacentral:rRNA from 1 species